rnacentral:rRNA from 1 species
CAGUAGCCGCGGUAAUACGUAGGUCCCGAGCGUUGUCCGGAUUUAUUGGGCGUAAAGCGAGCGCAGGCGGUUAGAUAAGUCUGAAGUUAAAGGCUGUGGCUUAACCAUAGUACGCUUUGGAAACUGUUUAACUUGAGUGCAAGAGGGGAGAGUGGAAUUCCAUGUGUAGCGGUGAAAUGCGUAGAUAUAUGGAGGAACACCGGUGGCGAAAGCGGCUCUCUGGCUUGUAACUGACGCUGAGGCUCGAAAGCGUGGGGCGCAAACAGGAUUAGAUACCCGUGUAGUCCCUGUCUCUUAUACC